GCCUUUGUAACUCAGUGGCAGAGCAUCUCCACUCAGUUUGAAUUCACACCACGAAUAUCGAGACGAUGUGGGUUCGACUCCCACCGAAGGCA